UACGAAGGGGGCUAGCGUUGCUCGGAAUCACUGGGCGUAAAGCGCACGUAGGCGGCUUGUUAAGUCAGGGGUGAAAUCCUGGAGCUCAACUCCAGAACUGCCUUUGAUACUGGCGAGCUUGAGUUCGGGAGAGGUGAGUGGAACUGCGAGUGUAGAGGUGAAAUUCGUAGAUAUUCGCAAGAACACCAGUGGCGAAGGCGGCUCACUGGCCCGAUACUGACGCUGAGGUGCGAAAGCGUGGGGAGCGAACAGG
rnacentral:rRNA from 1 species